GUUGAAGACGUUGCCAAGAGAUUUGAAAUGGAUUUCUGUUGGACAUUGGUCAGAGCACGAUAGUUAUUCAGUGAACUGGCAUUUUUGUGUCCUGUCACAUGGACGGCGUGUGUGUCUGGAACUUCAUUUUCAAGUAGUUUUUGACAAAGCCUUUUUCGGACAGAGGUGUUAGUAAUGCGUUUUCCGAACUGAAGCUCAGGCAAAUCAGCUUUGGCAGCCAUGGAUUUAAGCAGGUUGUUAAGCUUAUUCCUUCCAAUCGGACCACGUAGAAACCAUUGAUCCUUGACAGCAGGUGUUCUGGUGUGUGUGACCACAGCCAAGUAAAAUGGGUCUUCAUCUCCUAAAGAAGAAAUACUGACAGUGGGCAUCUGUCAGUUCCUGUUGCGUACAUUCUUGGCUUUUGACGGCGGAUGUUGGACGGAUCAAUACCAGUGCGAGUUUUUGUCUGGCGUUCAUUAUACUCAAGGUACUCUGUUCCAGUGGCACUGUCAAAUCCAAGCUUUACAUCACCCCACAUCAGUUGCCUGGAUAAAUUGGUUGUUUCAGGGCGAAUGUGGACUAAGUGUAUAUUCACUAUAAACAUCCAGAUACCUACCGGUCAAGACUGCUGAUCAUGCCUCGGAUUGUAGAUGGCUCAUACUCUUCACCAUUUUUCUGCCGGACCCUAAUUACAAAUUCCUGCAGAUAUGUGUCUAACUCAGCAGGAGGAAUAAAAUGCACCUGCCUGUUUUCACCCUUUUCGGACAGAAAGGACACGACUAAAGCAACAUUAGAACGUGUCUUGUCUUCAGUACGCUUGUUUUUAAGACUUUCUCUGUACGCUUUUGGAUUUGAACUCAUGGGUGCAAAGCGGUUGUUUUGAUUAUUUGCUGAUGAUCCAGGUACUUGAGGUAGUGUUUUCUGGUCUGAACAUUUUUCCUGAAUGCUGACAUCAUUUGAAAUACCAAAAUCAUCAUCAAAGGGAAGAAUGUCAUAAAAAUCUUGGAAAGGAUCAUGAUCAGUUGUCAGUGGACAAGGCAGUGUGGCGGGCACAUUUUUAGCAAUAGGUGUUAAGUCUUGCUCUGGUUGUGUUUUUAAUGAACCAGCACAGGCAAAUUUGUCGGGAUUGUAGCAAUUGAACAGUGCUUGAAAAUCAUCAUCAGGGAGCCCUUUUACUAAUUCAUGUCUUGCAGCAGUUUUCACCUCUCCAGUAAAGUACAUGUGUACUUUGUACAUGCAGUACGUGCCUAAGGGCCUAAUUAUGUCUAUGAUACGCCCCUUUUCACCUACGGACCCGAUUUGGACAACGUCCCCGAUUUUGAACUCUCUUAUGGUAUUGACAGUAGACAUGUUUGUUUUGUAAACAAUGAAACGCUGACGGAAAUUGUUAUGGCUUAUUUUAUAAGUGUUUACUCUUUUCCAUUUUUUUUCAUAUUGAAUUGUACUUUUUGACUAAUUGCUAAAUGAGAAGGAACAAAUAAUUAUGCUUUUUUAUUUUUAUUUCUAUUUAAUUUUGUCUCGUCUAUGACGUAGUUUUGUUGAAUUAAAAGGAGUUCCGAAAGUA